rnacentral:lncRNA from 1 species
UCAUUUUUACUUUAUUUAAGGAAAAAAGGUUGGGGGGACAACAGUAAUUUUCAUAAUACACAGUAGACAAGUUAGCACUGCAAAAAAAAGGGUUGUGUACUUGCCACCAGUCUGCUUUGCAGCUUUUAUAAUUAGUAAAUUUAAUGCAGUUUGUCAUUUGUAUUACUAUUUAGCAAAUUAAUAAUUGGCAAAAUUAGGGUAAGUGUGCUACAACUAAGACGAAAACCUAAAUAACCCAUUAAAAAAAUCACUUAAAAUAAACCAUAAAUAUGUGGUGCGCAUUAGUGUAACAAAACCAUUUUUGUAAACAUUUUCUCCAACAUUAACAUGUGCAUGAGAAAAAAGUAAAAACACUGCACUCAAUACAGAAAGGGUUACUCUGAUCUCAAUACAGAAAGGUUAUUACUUACGAAAGCUUUGACUAAACCUAGAGAUAUUUUUGUUUUGUUUGGAAGAGCACUCCUAUAACAGUUCAAUGUUCCGUAUGUAAUGGAAUCAUUACAAUACUGUUUUCUCGUGUAAUUUUGCCAUAUUGGCACUUCUGUGGAGAAGUCACUACCCUGUAAAAGGGGGGAAAAUAACUCCUUUCCUAAAAGAAUCUAAACAUUUCAACGACUCCCAAUCUUUUAUGGAGAAACUUCACUGGGUACCUGCAUCAAGCUAUAGCAACUCAAUCUGGUUUACAAGGGGGUGAGGCUAAGAAGGGAAGGAAAAAAGCCAAGUAAAGCACAGACCAGGAAGCCCCCGCCUAGAGGGACAAAGGGUGGUCCAAUUUCAGUAACUUAAGUCCAACAAUGGAUUCCAUUCAGUUCACCACAAACACCAAGACAGUGCCCACGGGGUGCCUGGAGCUACACAAGCAGAGCAAGCACAACUCGGUGUGAGCUCAGACCCCUUCACCACCUAUGGGAAAGCCAGUUUUCCUCAAGUUCUAAGCACUUGGUAAUUCCAGUGAAACACCAUUUGCAUUUUUUGUGUAACCCUUGACUUACAGAUGUGGAGCUUCAAGUCUUUGGAUAAUGUAAGACCACGAUGCCACAUUCUUUGUUCUCUGCCUUCUCCCACUUAACAUCAGACAUUGAGCAUUUCUUCAAAGACAUCUGCCCACCUUUUACUGUUCUCUAA